rnacentral:sRNA from 12 species
AACCUAAACCCCGCAAGGGGCAUGGUUUAAAAACGUUCAACACAUAAAGCUCCUAGUCAGAGCUCGUGUUGAACGUUGCAUCGGGAAACCGGUGCAGGGGUCGCAAGACCU